CACGGUGCCUAUACCACGUGACUUUUUAAGAUCUGUGUGGGGACUAAAAUGUCAACAAAAGCGCGACGAAGGUAUGGCCCAAUGCUCCGAAUGCGGAAAAAUGUUGAAGACCAGAGCUGGAUUAUUGAGCCACAUUAGGAGAUACGCUAACUCUGGAAACUAUUACUGCUGUGGGAAAGCAUUUCAGAAGGCUUCAAAGAACGAAGGAC